rnacentral:rRNA from 1 species
UACAGAGGUGGCAAGCGUUGUUCGGAAUUACUGGGCGUAAAGGGCGCGUAGGCGGCUUGGUCAGUCCCGUGUGAAAUCCCUCGGCUCAACUGAGGAACUGCACGGGAAACUGCCUGGCUUGAGUUCGGGAGAGGGAAGCGGAAUUCCGGGUGUAGCGGUGAAAUGCGUAGAUAUCCGGAGGAACACCGGUGGCGAAGGCGGCUCACUGGCCCGGUACUGACGCUGAGGCACGAAAGCGUGGGGAGCAAACAGG